AGGUAAGCUACUAAGAGCGAAUGGUGGAUGCCUUGACUGGUAAAGGCGAUGAAGGACGUACUAGACUGCGAUAAGCUACGGGGAGCUGUCAAGAAGCUUUGAUCCGUAGAUUUCCGAAUGGGGCAACCCAAUGUAUAGAGAUAUACAUUACCUAUAUAGGAGCGAACGAGGGGAAUUGAAACAUCUUAGUACCCUCAGGAAAAGAAAUCAAUAGAGAUUGCGUCAGUAGCGGCGAGCGAAAGCGUAAGAGGGCAAACCCAGUGCUUGCACUGGGGGUUGUAGGACUGCAAUGUGCAAGAGGUGAGUUUAGCAGAACAUUCUGGAAAGUAUAGCCAUAGAGGGUGAUAGUCCCGUAUGCGAAAAACAAACCUUAGCUAGCAGUAUCCUGAGUAGGGCGGGACACGAGAAAUCCUGUCUGAAGCUGGGUCGACCACGAUCCAACCCUAAAUACUAAUACCAGAUCGAUAGUGCACAAGUACCGUGAGGGAAAGGUGAAAAGAACUGAGGUGAUCAGAGUGAAAUAGAACCUGAAACCAUUUGCUUACAAUCAUUCAGAGCACUAUGUAGCAAUACAGUGUGAUGGACUGCCUUUUGCAUAAUGAGCCUGCGAGUUGUGGUGUCUGGCAAGGUUAAGCAAACGCGAAGCCGUAGCGAAAGCGAGUCUGAAUAGGGCGCUUAGUCAGAUGCUGCAGACCCGAAACGAAGUGAUCUAUCCAUGAGCAAGUUGAAGCUAGUGUAAGAACUAGUGGAGGACUGAACCCAUAGGCGUUGAAAAGCCCCGGGAUGACUUGUGGAUAGGGGUGAAAGGCCAAUCAAACUUCGUGAUAGCUGGUUCUCUCCGAAAUAUAUUUAGGUAUAGCGUUGUGUCGUAAUAUAAGGGGGUAGAGCACUGAAUGGGCUAGGGCAUACACCAAUGUACCAAACCCUAUCAAACUCCGAAUACCUUAUAUGUAAUCACAGCAGUCAGGCGGCGAGUGAUAAAAUCCGUCGUCAAGAGGGAAACAACCCAGACUACCAGCUAAGGUCCCUAAAUCUUACUUAAGUGGAAAACGAUGUGAAGUUACUUAAACAACCAGGAGGUUGGCUUAGAAGCAGCCAUCCUUUAAAGAAAGCGUAAUAGCUCACUGGUCUAGUGAUUUUGCGCGGAAAAUAUAACGGGGCUAAAGUAAGUACCGAAGCUGUAGACUUGAUUUUAUCAAGUGGUAGGAGAGCGUUCUAUUUGCG
rnacentral:rRNA from 1 species